rnacentral:rRNA from 1 species
AUUUUUAAAAUUCAUGAUGUCGUAAGGGAAAAUAAUGAUAAUACCUUACUAUGAGUGUCGUCCAAAUCUGGUGCCAGAAGACUCGGUAAGACCAGAGACGCAAACGUUAAUCAUCAUAAACAGGCGUAAAGGGUUUGUAGGCCAGCUUUCACCAAAACUAUGAUUACAAAAAUAAAGUAGUUUAAUUGAAAGCUAGAAUCAAAAAGAGGUUAUAGUGUAUAACGCCUAGAGGAGGGCUGAUAUCCAUAGAUCCUAGGCAGAAUACUCAGGGCGAAGGCCACUCUCCACUACUGAUUGACGUGAGAAACGAAGGUUAGGGUAGGAAAUAGGAUUAGAUACCCCGGUACUCCUUUCUGGUAAACGAUGAAUGGUAGUCAUUAGUUUUAUAACUAGAGACGAAGUUAACACAAUAACCAUUCCGCCUUGUGAGUACUACUGCAAAGUAGAAAACAAAAAAAUUAGUCGGUCUCGAAGCAA